rfam:Danio rerio chromosome 4, GRCz11 reference primary assembly.
UCCCGGGUGUUCUUGUGGUUAGGAUUCAGCGCUCCCACCGCAUCGGCCUGGGUUUGAGUCCCGGUCCGGGAA